AACGCACAUUGCGCCCUUUGGUAUUCCUUAGGGCAUGCCUGUUCGAGCGUCAUCUAAACCCUCAAGCACUGCUUGGUGUUGGGCGCUUGUCCCCCCCCUCGGGGCGGCGGACUCGCCUCAAAAGCAUUGGCGGCCUUUGUCAUGGGCUUCGAGCGCAGCAGACUCGCGCCUCGCGAUCCUCCGGCAAGGGCGUCCAACAAGACGCAUCUCCAAGUUUGACCUCGGAUCAGGUAGGGAUACCCGCUGAACUUAA
rnacentral:misc_RNA from 1 species